GCAAGUCGAGCGCACCUUCGGGUGAGCGGCGGACGGGUUAGUAACGCGUGGGAAUAUACCUAGUUCUAAGGAAUAGCCUCGGGAAACUGAGAGUAAUACCUUAUACGCCCUUCGGGGGAAAGAUUUAUCGGAAUUAGAUUAGCCCGCGUUAGAUUAGAUAGUUGGUGGGGUAAUGGCCUACCAAGUCUACGAUCUAUAGCUGGUUUGAGAGGAUGAUC
rnacentral:rRNA from 1 species